rnacentral:rRNA from 1 species
UCCUUCAGAUCACCACAGUACACGAUCUCCAGCGUCUGCAGGCUAGGCAGGGUGUCCAUAUGCUCAGACAAGGGAAGCACAUGUAUGAGCCUGGGGCAACAGUCCAGGUGCAAGAACGCUAGGCGUUCAAACGAACGACUACCAGGUUGAGCUACUGCACUCCAGUUCCAGAUGUAGCACGCCUUCAGGAGCUGAGACGCCCAGAAUGUAGACAAUAACCGAAAGGCACUGUGGCCAUCACUUAGUUCGGGAGUUGCAAAGACAGAGCAUAGAUUGGGGCACCUCUCGACACGGCCCCAAUCGAGGUAGCACCAGCUGGAACCUUGUGGAAAUGGAAGGCAAGUGAUGGAUGAGCUAUCAUGCACAUGAAGCAUGUAAGCCCUAUCAUACAUGAAACUAUGGGGUAAAGUAGCACUAGUAGUAGUUCCUUCAAUGCUGCUCUGUUCUUGCUGUAGUAAUCUCCCCUUCAUCUCCUGUUCAUCUUGUACUUGAACG